AGCCCUGUGGUGUAGUGGCAACAUUCUGGCCUUUGGAGCCAGCGUCAGCAGUUCAAAUCUGCUCAGGGCUG
rnacentral:tRNA from 1 species